CGGGAACAGCUGCUGGGGAGCGGGAGGUGUUGUUGCUUCCAAACAUGUUUUCCAAAGGACACACCUUGGAGUUAGCGGUUUUUGAUGAAGACUGUGGGCGAGCCACUGGAGUUAGCUGAGUGGACAGGCCAGGAGAGGGAGGCGGUGGUGGGUGCACCCGUCACAUGCUUCCUUCCCACCAGCCCCUGGCCUGCUCCUCUGGGUUAGAGCCAGGCGGAGCCUUAGACUGCGAGGCCAUGGAAUGUCAGGACAGCAGCACAGCCAAGGUCAGUUCUGAUGGUGACUCUACACAAGGGCAAGCCCAGUGUGCCUCGCUCAAGGAAGAUGUUUUGCAGUGAGUCCAACACGGCACAGUCUGAGGAGCUUGUCGGGGGCUCUCUGGAGCCUGGCAGGCUGCACCCUGGAGGGACAAAUGUGUGCAUGGGGGGGCCACCCAGGCAGAAAGCUGAGAGAGGAGGCGCCAGUGCUUGAAGUUGGCAGCCUGGCCUCGAGUCGGAGUUGCUGGGCGCUGUCCCACCGGUUGGUGGGUGAGUGACAGCACACCCUGGAGGCCUCCGCUGGUGCAAAGGGAAAAGGGCAUCCCAGAUCUUCCGAACUCUCGGAGCUCUCCGUGGACGGAACCGUCAGUGUUUCUCUCUCCACCUCCUUCUCCUCUUCGGCUUUCUUCAAGCUUCCAAGAUGGAUUUUUGAUCUAUUUGUGUUUUAUUCCUUGGAGGGCAAGCUCCCAGCCGAGGAAGGUGAGGCACCGAGAGGGGUGACUUGUCCAAGGUCACGCGGCGCCCUGCUGGCAAGAGCGGUUCUCGGGCGCACGUGGCAUGGCGUUGUGGCCCAGCCCAAGUCCCUUUUAAGCUACAGCGUAUGACAGACGGACUGGGAGGGAAGGAAAGGCGGAGAGGGAAGAGCUCCUUGUUUCAGACCGAGACCCCCCGAGACCCCCCAUUUGGGGAAAUCUGCCUAGUGGGCAGGUGCCUCUUAGCACGAGGACCAGCAGAGCAAGAGUGUAAAGGUAAAGCCUGUCUGUCUGCAGGCUCAG
rnacentral:lncRNA from 1 species